UCAAAUUUAAACAUUCACUGUGUAUUUUGAUCACAAGUCAUAGAGUUAUGUAAAUUGUAUCAGUGACUUCUGAGGUCUCCAAAAAAUUCGCAUUUAAUAUUAAGACACAUAUAUCGGGAUGUUCAUUGCUAUGUUGUUUGUAACAUUGAAAAUUUGGAAAGAUACUUUAUUUCUAUCAAGAGAGGAAUGGUUAAAUAGGGUGUGUUAUGUAUCUUCAUCCUACAGAUAGUAAAAAUAGUCCAAAGCAUGAAGCUGAUCUGUAUGUACUAUCAUAAUAUAAGUAGAAAAGCAAGAAACAACAUUAACUGUAUUUCACUGUGGUAAAACCCACAUAAUUAUCUAUAUUCAUAGAUAACUAUAUAGAAAAAAAUGGGGUGAAUACACACAAAACUGUUAACAUUAAUUGGAGAGAGAAGAGGAAUUGCAUUUUUAUUAUAUAUACACAUCUAUUAAAUUUCUUAAAAUUAGCUCUGUAUUGCUGGUAUAAAAAUGAACAAAAGCAAAAAAACAUCAGGAAUUAAUUCCUGAAGAAUGAGAAGGCAAAAAGAUAGCAGGAAAUUUAUCAUUUAAAGAAUAAUUUACCAUUUAAAGAAUAUGCCCAAAACUUCAGAAGCAGAUGAGAACCAUAGUUUGUAUUUGGCCAGAGCUGUCUAGCUGUUUAUAGUAGUAACUCUGCUCUUUUAUUUCUUUGCAUGUCCAGCUUACUCUUCUUACUUUUCUGUAUUCUACAGGUAACGGGACCAGAUAUGAAGGUGUUUAGCAGGAAUUUAAGAAAGUUCAGAAAGUGAUUGCUGAUGAGGAGCAAAAGGCCCUUCAUCUAGUAGACAUCCAGGAAGCAAUGGCCACGGCUCAUGUGACUGAGAUAUUGGCAGAUAUCCAGUCCCACAUGGACAGGUUGAUGACUCAGAUGGCCCAGGCCAAGGAACAACUUGAUACCUCUAAUGAAUCAGCUGAGCCAAAGGGAGAGGGCAAUGAGGAAGGAUCCAG
rnacentral:lncRNA from 1 species